rnacentral:tRNA from 1 species
GAAAUGUUGGUAAAACAAUCACAUAGCCUUGUCAAGGCUGAAUUACAGGUGCAAGUCCUGUACAUUUCA